GGUCUGGCUUGCGAUGGUUUCUAGUCUGCAGUCUGUGGAGAAGAGCAGACUCUUAGGCACCUGCAUCUAUUUCCCAGCACCUUUGCUCGGCUCUCCGUCUCUCGUCUCUCCUGGGGACCCUGGGGCGUGGCCCCCGCCUGCCGAAGGCCAGGCCCCUGCCCCCUUCCCCACGCGGUUCCAGGCAGGCACUGAGAGCGCAGCCUGGCUGUACCUUCCUUGGGAACAGCAAUUAAAAACAGACUUGUGAUGACUACUGUAACCAAUUUGAUUUGACAAGUAUUUGGAAAACUAGUUGAAUUCCUUUCACAAGGGAAGAGCAACUUCUCCUCUGCCAGUGGACCCCUCAGAGGCCUUCAACCAAAUCCUGACCCCCAAGUCUGCUCUGAUGGCCAAGGAACAGAAGUCCCAAAGAGGACUGGAGCCCUCUCUUCCUCUUCCAGAGGCCUCACAAUCCUUAGUGAUGGACCUUCCGCGGUUGACUCUGAACUCAAGCACCAGCCUCCCCAUCUGCUUGGCCAUAAGUUCAAGCCCAAUCCCCCAGCACAAGGAGAGAAAGGCUCUUCAGGCUGGCCAAUGCCACCUUUCUGAAGGCUAGGAUACAGAGAGUGUUAGUGAGGCCGAAAAAACUGGCACACUUGACAUCUAUGCUUAAAAGUAGAUAUUCGCAGAUACAAGGGCUUCUGGAGGACCUCCCGAAAGCACUUCCGCAGACUGUGACCCAG